rnacentral:lncRNA from 1 species
GAUUAUCCCAACUAUUAGAAUCUCUUCCAAUUCCCCAACUAUUGACAAAAAUUAAAGUCCCUUUUGGGAUAUCAUAACCAUCAACAUUGCAAUCUUCUCUAGCUUCUCUUGGCACUAACAAUGGUGCCACUGGAUGUAGCCUCAUUGUUUCUUUAGCAAUUGCAUACAAAUAAGGUAAAUUCACAAAGUCAUUCUCUUCAACCCAUCUAUCUUUUCCUAUUACUCUGUCUAGUUCUUCUGUUGCUUUCUUGAAUAUCUCUGGAUUUUUCAUUAGUUCAGACAUUGCCCAUUCUACUGUUACUGUUGAGCUCUCUGUUCCACCUGCUAUUAGGUCCUGAGGAAUAGAUAUAUAAUAGAUAAGUAGAUUAAAAUAAAGUUAAAUCUAUAAAUAUGGUAUUAAGAGGGUCUUUGUUAUAGCUUAUUUUAAAUAAAAAUCAUUUUUUUUAUAAAAAUAAUUAUUUUUAAUUAUUUUGCAUCUGUUUGUUACAGAUUUUUAAAAUAAUCAGAAGCUAAAAAUAAUCAGAAAACAGCUAAAAAUGAGAAGCUAUUAAGGAAAGGUUUAGAUCAAGAUUUAAUAUUCUUUCUCCGUACGAAAUAAGGGAACAAAUGAAAUUUACCGUUUAAAAAAGUGAAUAUUUUUGUUUAUUAUUAUAAAAAGGACAGGAAAAACUAUUAAGCAAAACUUUGUUGCUUCACACAUGUUAAAGAAAAAUUAUAUUUACUUAUUUUGGUGUAACUUGAUUGCCCCCCUUACUAAAAUAUCAUUUACUAUAAGUAAAUAAUUACAUUAAAUUUAUAUUUGGACUAUGCACUGACGAUCUUAGAAAAUAGGAAAAUUAAAAUGGGAUAUUUUUGAAACAAUGAUAUAUUAAAUAAAAUUAGAUUUUUAGAUUUGAUAACUUUUACUUAAUAUUAUUGAUAUUUUGAAACAAUAAUAUUAUUAAAUAAAAUUAAAGUUGAUAGGAAUAUCGUAUUGCAUAUGUAGGAAUCGAGUUUGAAUCCAGAUUAUUUUCUUAUUCAUUUCAAGCAUUAAAUUUCUUCCAUUAAAUUAUUUAUUAAAAAGAAAAAACAGAGGUUAAGUUUUUUAUGAUGACAUAAGGGGAUAUAUUUUAAGUUUACUAAAAAGUCAUUGUUAAUGAAUAUUAUUCCUUCUUCAUAUCAUGUUGAAUCCGUCAAGGAUAGCCUAUAAUUUCUCUGUACAGAGAAGUAUUUUCUACAUGUUAAUUCGUUGGUAAAAAAAUAAAUUGAAUCCCACAAAUUAGAAAAAUGUUAUUUCAACAUCAAUUUUUAGACAAAAAUAUGACAAACCUAAAUAUGCAUACCACUUUUUAAUUUUUUAAUACUUUUUGUAUUCAUCGAAAAUUGUGCAUAAAGACAAGGAAAAUACAGAUGUCGUAUUUUUGUUGAUAUGGUCUUGUUAACAUGACACAUGUUAAGAUAUACCAAAAUAGAAAUUCAACAUUUAAUAAUACAAGAAAUUUAAUGCUUCAAAAGUCAAAAUGCACAAAUUAGCAUUUAAUAAUUUCUAUUUUUAUUUUCUUAACAUUUACCUUAAAGACACGAGUUAACAUUCUCCUUAUCGAUAAAAUGAUAUUUAUAUAACAUAGCUCCACAAAUUAUAUGGAUGAAACUAAGAAGUAUGACUUUUCAACUUGUCAUCAUUUGAGUCAAUAAAUAUUGUCAUUUCUAUGAAGAUGCGCAUAUCACUUUAGACAAACAAAAAAAAGGGUCCGUAAAAAAAACAAAAAAAGAAGGUAAUUUUUUACUAUAAAAAAAAAAAGUAAUAUUAAUUUUUUUUUCUAAUAAAAAUGUUAAGUGAGGAAACGAUAAUUUAGUGUACGGUAGAAAAAUUUUAAAGCUCAAAGAAUAUAUACAAAAUUUUCUACAUUUAACUUUAUUAAGGAAGUCGCACGUUUUUUAAUAGUAUUCCUCGUUGUAUUGAACCUAUUAUUAUGAAUGAAAUGUGUUAAUUGUGUUUCUAUCAAAAAAAAAAAACUAUCAAGGACAAAAGGGGACCUGUCAGAUGUAGGGAUGUUCAAGGAUCAAGUUUGCCCGAUUUCAGACAAAUCUAUUUUUCGAUACAAUCAAACUUAAUUUGUUUGAGUUAGAUGUAAAAUUAUUUUUUUUAUGGGUCAAUGAGUCAAUAAAUAUAGCUUUUCAAAUAAUUUCCAAAAAAAAAAAAUUAGUUAAAUGACAUUCUAUCUCAUGAAACUUUUUGAAAUUUAGACUAAAUUUUACUAUAUAAACACUUAAAUUUACAUGAUAUACUUCAACUUUCAAGUAUAGUAUAAAAAACCACGUAAAAAUCUUAAACUGUAUUUUCAAAACCAAUACAUAUUACUUUACCACUAGAUAAAACCUUUCGAGUUAAAAAAAAAAAAUCUUAUAAAAAAAAUAAAAUUGUAUAAGUUAAAAAACCUUUAGCGUUAAAGUAAUAAUACCAUGGGUCAUAAACAUUAUUACCCAAAAAACUAAUAAAGACCAUCAAAAUGUUCUAUCCCUAACUUCUACGCAUGCAUGGAUAGUUAGAAGAAGAGAACUCACCUUGUAUGUCCCACAAAUUAUCCGAUAUAGACUAGUCAUCAUUAUACGGUGGUGAAAACUUUGUACUUAUAUCGUAUAAAAAUCCAAUGGUUUUUCAUUUACAACAAGAUCAAACAGUUAAAAUUAAAAAAUUAUUGAAAUCUAUGGUGGACCACAUACAAUGUCAGUCCAUCUUAUAUAUAUUUGUGUUUUUUUUAUAGAAUAUAUAUUUGGUGUUAAAAAUUUAUGGAAAUAACAUUUUUGACUAAGAGAUAAACUUAAAGCAGUUAAAAUAGAACAUUUAUUAUUUAAGAAAUCAAAACAAAACUUAAAAAUUAAUUAAGAAACCAAAAGUAUAAUUAAGCAAAAGAAAGAAAAAAAAUAUUUACCUGAGUAAAGCCUUUGACUCCAGGCCUCUCAAGUUUGACUUCAAGGUUAGGAUCUUCAGCCAGCUGCAAAAGCACAUCCACCAUAUCUUUAGCAACAUAAUCCUUAGCAUUUUUCCUUUUCUCAAUGUGUUCCUCCAACACAUGUUCCAUAAACCAAUCAAAUUUUUUACCCAAAGCCUUCAUCCUCUUCACAUAACCUUGAAAAUCCAGGAAAUUAAUCCAAGGAAUAAAAUCCCCAAUAUUAAGGACCCCGUUAAGCAUAAACAACUCCUCCAACAUCUUCUUAAACUCAUCCGGAGAAAUAAAAGCAUUUUCUGUCUUUUCCAAAUAAUUUUUCCCCAACACCAUGCGACUUAUAAUAUUUAGAUUCAAAUUUAAAAGAUGGUCUUUCAACAAAAUUGUUUUAUUUUUUGAGUUAUAGAGUUCGUGCAAAAAAGCAUGUAACUCUUGGUUUCUUAUGAACUCAUAAGAUUGAAGGCGUCUCGCACUAAACAAUUCUAAUAGACAUAUUCUACGGGCCUGACGCCAAUAUGGACCAUAUUGGGACCAAGUCAUGUCAGAGUAGUUAUAAGUUGUGUAUUUACCAGCCGAGAAUUUGGGCCGGCCGGCAAGAGUGGCAUCGUGAGUUUUAAGGAACUCUUUUGCUAUUUUUGCAGACGAGCCCACAAUGACGGGUUUGGAGCCGAGCCAUAUAUGCAUGAUGGGUCCAUAUUUUUGGGUGAGCCCAUGGAAGGAUUGGUGAGGGAGAGAUCCCAUAAGGUUGAGAUUUCCUAUUAUGGGCCAUGGUUUUGGGCCUGGUGGUAGGUUGUAUUUGCGGCGGCGGAGACGGCUGCUGAAGAGGAGGAGAAUAGCAAAUGUUGUCAACAAUGUGACCCAACUAGGNNNNNNNNNNNNNNNNNNNNNNNNNNNNNNNNNNNNNNNNNNNNNNNNNNNNNNNNNNNNNNNNNNNNNNNNNNNNNNNUACUGGAGCCAUUGCUGGAUUUUGUGACUUUGUUUUGGUGAUUGUGAGGAGUUGAUGAGAGGUUAAAGAGUGAGUGGGUUAUUUAUUUAUAAUCAUAAUAAUCAUAGCAUAGGAUUAGGAUUAAGCAAUUCUUUAUUCCAUAGACCCCAUGUACGUGGAACAUGUUUCUUGUAGUCUUGUAUCGAUUUGGAUUAAUUUAUUCGUGAUCUCAUUGGCAUGUGUGAGACUGUAUGGUGGAGUAUUAUUUUAUCACUCACAUAAGCGUGAAACAAGGAUUUUUAAUAUUUCAUGGUAGCAUAAAGAUAUAUUUGUUUCUUGAUCUAAAUAAAAAAAUAAUUUGUUUCAACUUGUUUCAAAAAAGUCACCGAUGAAUUUAAAUCAUUUAGAUUGUUUUCUAAAAAAAUAAUCAUUUAGUUUUCUCUGGCAUGUGUAAUAAUCUUUUAGAAUGUUUUCGACGCAUCUAAAGUGAUCUUUUCUGAAUUGUAAGGGUUGAGUACUCCUUAUAUUCCUUAUAAUUCAUUAUUUGCUUAUAAAAAAUGAUGAAUUUAAAUUGUAUAAGUUUAAAUAUUAAAUAAUUUCUGAAAAUCAUAGUCUUUAAACUCCUCCUCCAAAUGCGUUUGAUUCAUAAAACAGCAAGAACAGGACAAAACAACACAAGAUAGAACAAGAUAAUACAGGACAAGACAAAACUGUACCGGAGAGAUAUAGGGCGAUAAUUUUUUUAUAUUCGAAAAUAAAAUGAGUAUUUUUGUAUUUUUUAUGGUUCUAGUGUGAACAAAAAGUUGUCAUGUGGUUUAGUGAGGGACAAAAAAAUCUUGUUUCUGUGUUGUCAUUUGCUACCUAAUUUGUUCAGUCUCAUAAUCAGUUUAAAAUUAAACAAAAUACAACAAAAAUUAUCCAGUCCAGUUUACUAUUUUUUAGCAGAUCAAACUCAUCUGACAAAAAAUCAAGAGAGAACAUAACAUAACUUAACUUGGCAUUACAAAUGCUACUACAACCGGUAGACAGAGCUUACAAAGGGAUACACUACUACACUCAUUAUUAAACUCCAACAUUCCAACAUCAUUUUUUUCUUCUUCAUUAUGAUGCUUACAAUUUCUUUCUCUAGUAUGAUGAGAGAUAAUUAAACUCACACAACAAAUCCAAUUAUUGCCAAAUCUUAUUACAAAACUUAAGUAGAGAAAAAUACUCAAAGUGAGUAAAGAUGAUCAGCAAGUCUAGGCUCCGAAACAACUUCUAAUGGUAUUUUCUUAGGUGUAGAGAGCCCAAAAAUCUCCUCCAUAUUCAAAUCCUCAUUUUUCACAUUAUCACUUAAUCUCCAAUUAAAUCCAUGCAACAAGUUAGCCAAACUUGAUUGAAUCACCUUAAUACCAAGAGGGUAACCCGGACACAUUCUUCUACCAGCGCCAAAUGGUAAUAACUCGUAAUCGUGUCCUUUUACAUCUAUAUUUUUACCAAGAAACCUCUCCGGCAUAAAUUCAUAUGGAUUUUCCCAAAUAUUGGGAUCUCUUCCAAUUGUCCAAGUAUUGACAAGAAUUUGAGUUCCUUUCGGGAUAUCGUAACCAUCAACAUGACAAUCUUCUCUCGCUUGUCGUGGGACUAACAUUGGUGCCACUGGAUGUAGCCUCAUUGUUUCUUUAGCAAUUGCAUAUACAUAAGGUAAAUUCACAAUGUCUUUCUCUUCAACCCAUCUAUCUUUUCCUAUUACUCUGUCU